GCGGUGGGGCUGGGCACGGAAAGGCUCCCGGGAGCUCUCCUCGCUGCCGGGUGCCGCGGACGGCUUUCCUGCUGAGAGCAGCACGCUUCAGAUUUCAGAACAACAGACUGGACCUGUGUUUGUUGUUUUUUUCUACAACCAAGACUUUGAAGGUGACCAUCAGCUGGGACAAUGAUGGGAGAAGAAAACAACACUGGACUUUGAAGCAGAGGUCUGAGAAAAUCUAAGUUACAAUACUACUGAUAUUCUCCUAUAGCUAUUUAAACUUCUUAGUUGUGUACCUUGAGUACUAGGAAGUAGUGGCUUCUUUUAGUGUACUUUUUGCAAUUUGAUAUUUCACCUUCCCACUUCACUCUAAACCAAACUGAUGCAAGAGAGUGGGAUUUUUAAAGUUACAAUAAUGGAAGAGGACUAGUCUUGUAGUACUGGUAAUAGAUACAAGAAAAAAUAUGGCAUCUAAUAGCUCCCCAGUUUUAAGUUAAAUUCAGAGAGGUUUGACCUAAAGCUCAACAAAACCUCCACAGGGAUUCCCUACACAAGCACACAAAAUACACCCUUCACUGAGAGUCCAGGCAGAAAGAAACAACAGCACAGGAAAUUGUUCUUGGAGAACCCUUCUACUCGUCAGUCACCGGCUGCUGCAAACCAGAAAGGUUAACACACCAUCUAAUUGUUUGAUAGGAUUCAUAUUCCUUCACAAAUGUGAUGAAUAAUCCAAGUGUGUUGAAUCAAGCCAGAGGAAUAUUGUUCCUUCCCCAGCCUUUUAUUAACUCCUUGUGGUAUAAUGUACUUGAAAUCAUAGAAUAGUUUGGGUUAGAAGGGACCUUAAAGAUCAGCUCCCCACUAUGGCUGGGGAUGCCACCCAAAAUGAGUUUGUUCUGUGACAUUAUAACAUGUGGGUGGAUGAUUCUUGUAUGUAAGUAAAAAUUUUACUUUUACACGCACUUCUCUUUAUAUUUGACUUGAAAUUAGAGAACAAAAAAGUACCCCUUCCACCUGGUUUUGCCCCCUGCUUAGUGCAGACUUAGUGUUCCCUACAAUGGGUAUUAUGCUGUUUUUGUAUACUCUGGCUUUGAAAGGCCCUGGUAAUGGGGCUUAAUCUGACGCAAGGCACACUUUAUUGGGAUGUCUUUCCUGAUAUUUAGGCUGUAUUUCCCGUUGGUUUUAGUUAAUUUUGUCUCACAUUCAUAUGUGUCCUCGAGCCUGCUUAAAAUCCUUUGCUGUUGCUAAGCCUAGAAUAUCAGUACGCAGCUUCGAGUUUUGUCCAAUGCUUUUCUUUUUACUAAACCAAACUGCAUUUUAAUUGUGGUUUAUCUUCAGUCCUCUACAGACACCCAUUUUCGAAGUUUAGAGAAAGGGUAUUUUGAGUAGUCCCUUUUUUUUUUUUUUUUUUUUUUUUUUUUUUUUUUUUUUUAAGUAGCAAUGACUUUUCAAACUCAGACCUCUACAAAAAUUUAAACAACUUGUAAGCACCCCUUUAAAGCGCCCACGGCUCCCACAUUUUCUGCUGCAGCGCGGGGGGUUCCGGCUUUCCAGUCCCGAUUUGCCCGGCUCGGGGCAGCGCGGCUCUCCCGGGACGGGGCCUGGCGCGCUCUGCCGGGCGCGCCGCGGAACGCCAGCCGCUGUUCCCGCAUUCCCGAGCUCCCUGCUCCUGCGGUCCGUCACCAACGCGCUCAUUUUGGCACUCCAAGAGAUGCUUCCUUCGGCUGACCCUGGGAAAACUCAUGUUGCAAUUGCAUUGUCUGACAGAGUAAUCUGCAUCUCUAGGUUACAGUUGGGCUUAUUAGAGCCUAUUUGUCUUUACACUUUCUUGGUGACAUGGAGUUCUACUUGAAUAUUUCCUUGGUUUUUUUGUCGCUCUUUGCCUCCUCUCAUGUACAUCUUGUCAUAGUUACAAAGGUCUUGUAGUCAAAUAAGAGACAAUUCUGCGGUUGUGUAUGACAAAUGAAUCUGUUUCAUUCCUGUAUUGUGACUUAGUUAGCUUGCUAGUGUUCACAGGUAUGAAGAAUUUUUUUUUUUUUUUGUGACAGUGAAAUGAGCAAUUUGUCUAAAAAUAAACAACAAAGUAUGUGAAUAAUAAGUAAAUGAA